GCGACCGUAGUCCAGCCUGGUAAGAUAUCUGGUUGCCAUCCAGACGACCCGGGUUCGAAUCCCGGCGGUCGCACCA
rnacentral:tRNA from 1 species